UCUUGGUUAUAAAUUGAAUUAAAUUUACCAGAGUACUAUGAAUAUCAUAAAAUUUAAAACUCAAAGGACUUGGCGGUGUUUUAGACCACUCAGGGGAACCUGUCUCGUAAUCGAUAAUCCACGUUACACCUAACCUUUUUUUGCUUUCAGCUUGUAUACCGUUGUCGUCAGGUAACUUUUAAGAAACCAGAAGUUAGCUAGAAACAGUGAAUUUAAACGUCAAAUCAAGGUGCAGCUAACAAAAAGGCGAGGAUGGGUUACAAUUACUAAGUUGUAAUUAUGAAAAAUCAUAUGAAUUAGUGAUUAAGAAGGAGGACUUGAAAGUAAAUUAGAUUAUAAAGAUAAUUUGAAUAAGGCUCUGAAAUGCGUACACAUCGCCCGUCGCUCUUGUUGGAAAAUAAGAUAAGUCGUAACAUAGUAGGGGUAAUGGAAAUUGUUCCUAAACU
rnacentral:rRNA from 1 species